CGUCGAAUUCCGACGUACGGUCCUAAAGUUACGCCAAGAACGGAUAAUUACGACUUUAAGCAUUUGAUCGCGCGUACACAUGCAGGUGCGAUCAUACCAGCACUAAUGCACCGGAUCCCAUCAGAACUCCGCAGUCAAGCGUGCUUGGGAGAGAGUAGUAAUAGGAUGGGUGACCUCCUGGGAAGUCCUCGUGUUGCACCUCU
rnacentral:sRNA from 1 species